rnacentral:lncRNA from 1 species
UUUUGUUCCUCAUUGCAAAGUUAGAGUUGAAGUGGAAUAAAUGAGAGCAUCACUAAAUGACACAAGAUACAGUAACAAAACAUACGUCUUUCUUGUUUCAUAGAGUAUUCGUGGAAUUGAAAAACUAAACCGAAAGUUUGGAUUCUACCCUCCCUCCCCAAUAUAAAAUAUUGAAGUUUGUAGCUCUGCAAAAUGGUGGCCAUCAAUAGACAGUGCUCUGUAAGUACCUUGCUCUUGUGCACUCCUCAUUCACAAGUAACAUUCUCCUGCACACUCAGCUUCAGAAGGUAAGAUUUUUUCAGGAGUUAAAUUUCAGCUCGGUAUGUUCACCUGGAAACUAGCUCUCUCUGAGGAACUAAAAGUUAAAAACAUUUAAGAUGCAUUUU